GGUACAGCAUGGUGUAGUGGUUUGAGUGGCGGACUAUGACUCUGGAGACCAGGGUUUGAUUCCCUGCUUGGCCA